rnacentral:rRNA from 1 species
UACGUAGGGUGCGAGCGUUGUCCGGAAUUAUUGGGCGUAAAGGGCUCGUAGGCGGUUUGUCGCGUCGGGAGUGAAAACCAGGUGCUUAACACCUGGCUUGCUUUCGAUACGGGCAGACUAGAGGCAUGCAGGGGAGAACGGAAUUCCUGGUGUAGCGGUGAAAUGACGCAGAUAUCAGGAGGAACACCGAUGGCGAAGGCAGGUCUCUGGGCCGAUACUGACGCUGAGGAGCGAAAGCGUGGGGAGCGAACAGG